AAAACCGUUUUAUCUUUUGUAGAUGCGACAAUAACAUAGUAACAUUUUCAGAGAGCAAAUCACCUUUGAAAACUACCAAUAUUUAUGUCGUCAUUACUGGUAUAUUCGAUAUUUGCCGCGUGCCUAAGUGAAGGUGGAGUGUCGUUUCUUCUGGAUGGACAGCCAGGAAGUAAUCAAGAACACACACAUGAGCUGCUUGAAUUAGAGAACGAAGUGUCAAUUCUUAAGGACAUGCUGGCAAAUUGACAACAAUCAUGCUAUUCGUGCUCCAGUUCAAGCAUUUUACCAACGCCUGUCUUCAUGGUCAACUUACUCAAAGAUAUCAAAGGAUGCACAUUUGACACGAUUGUCUUUGACCAAAGAUUGCUCGAUACCAGACAGUCAUACGAUGUCAGGAAUGGGGUUUUCCGAGCGCCUAUAAACGGUACAUACACGUUUAGUUUAUCUCUGAUUACGACGACUACACUCCAUGUGCAGAUUGUCUUAAAUUCGGUCGCCAAUCAAAUAGGAUACCUUGUUGUGGACAAUCAUGCUAAACUGCAUUUAGACAAGGAAGUGCAACAAUCGUUACCAAACUGUAUGUUGGCGAUGCUGUCUGGGUUACUUGCCUCAGUGAAGUAAGAAGCGAUAUAGAAGCGUGGCAGUAUGGAAAUCUGCACUCGUAUUUCUCUGGUUUUUUUGUGAACUAAAGCUAUCUGCAUUUUGCAUUUUGGUAGUCUAAGAAAACAUAGCCUUAAACUUAAAUGUCAGCAAGCCAAAAUUACACCCAUGUGUGUUAAUGUUUGCUAGUUUGAGUGAAAUAUAAAGAUUCAUCAGUACAAAGGAAAGAACAUAUAUGUUAAUAACAUGAUAAAAUAAUGCGUAUUGUCCUUCAACAAGUGUAUUUAAUAAAAAAACUUUUGUUUGCCACAAUAUGUUGUCCUUUUUAAUGUUGUUAC